rnacentral:rRNA from 1 species
UACAGAGGGUGCGAGCGUUAAUCGGAUUUACUGGGCGUAAAGGGCGCGUAGGCGGUUGUAUGAGUGUGAUGUGAAAGCCCCGGGCUCAACCUGGGAAGUGCAUCGCAAACGAUACGACUAGAGUAUAUGAGAGGGUGGCGGAAUUUCCGGUGUAGCGGUGAAAUGCGUAGAGAUCGGAAGGAACGUCAAUGGCGAAGGCAGCCACCUGGCAUAAUACUGACGCUGAGGCGCGAAAGCGUGGGGAGCGAACAGGAUUAGAUA